ACGGAAGGCAGCAGCUAAGAAUAUUCCGCAAUGGAGGAAACUCUGACGGAGCGACGCCGCGUGGAUGAUGAAGGCCGGAAGGUUGUAAAAUCCUUUUGAAACUGAGGAAUAAGCAUUGAAGGAAAUGGCAGUGCGAUGACUGUAGGUUUUGAAUAAGCACCGGCUAAUUACGUGCCAGCAGCCGCGGUAACACGUAAGGUGCAAGCGUUGUUCGGAAUUAUUGGGCGUAAAGGGCAUGUAGGCGGUCAUGCAAGUCUGGUGUGAAAUCCCGGAGCUCAACUCCGGAACUGCACCGGAAACUGUAAGACUAGAAUUACUGAAGGGGAGCCGGAAUUCCAGGUGUAGGGGUGAAAUCUGUAGAUAUCUGGAAGAACACCAAUGGCGAAGGCAGGCUUCUGGCAGAUGAUUGACGCUGAGGUGCGAAGGUGCGGGGAGCAAACAGGAUUAGAUACCCUGGUA
rnacentral:rRNA from 1 species